CAGUCGCGUUUGCCGAGACUCAGCCUUGCUUCUGCUUGGUGCACUUCUCGGUAGAUGGGUCAGCAUCGAUUUUGGGUGCCGGAAAAUGGCGGGAGGAAUGUGGCAGCUUGUCUGUGUUAUAGCCUCUUGUCGUACACGGUGCUUGGGAUCGAGGUCUGCAGCACGCCUUUGGUCGGGGUUCGCCCACGCCCACGUGCUUAGGAUGCUGGCAUAAUGGCUUUAAUCGACCCGUCUUGAAACACGGACCAAGGAGUCUAGCAUAUAUGCGAGU
rnacentral:rRNA from 1 species